CAGUAGCCACGGUAAUACGUAGGUGGCAAGCGUUGUCCGGAAUUAUUGGGCGUAAAGGGCUCGCAGGCGGUUUCUUAAGUCUGAUGUGAAAGCCCCCGGCUCAACCGGGGAGGGUCAUUGGAAACUGGGAAACUUGAGUGCAGAAGAGGAGAGUGGAAUUCCACGUGUAGCGGUGAAAUGCGUAGAGAUGUGGAGGAACACCAGUGGCGAAGGCGACUCUCUGGUCUGUAACUGACGCUGAGGAGCGAAAGCGUGGGGAGCGAACAGGAUUAGAUACCCCCGUAGUCCCUGUCUCUUAUAA
rnacentral:rRNA from 1 species